GACGAACGCUGGCGGCGCGCCUAACACAUGCAAGUCGAACGAGCGAGAGAGAGCUUGCUUUCUUGAGCGAGUGGCGAACGGGUGAGUAACGCGUGAGGAACCUGCCUCAAAGAGGGGGACAACAGUUGGAAACGACUGCUAAUACCGCAUAAGCCCACGACCCGGCAUCGGGUUGAGGGAAAAGGAGCAAUCCGCUUUGAGAUGGCCUCGCGUCCGAUUAGCUAGUUGGUGAGGUAACGGCCCACCAAGGCGACGAUCGGUAGCCGGACUGAGAGGUUGAACGGCCACAUUGGGACUGAGACACGGCCCAGACUCCUACGGGAGGCAGCAGUGGGGAAUAUUGCACAAUGGGGGAAACCCUGAUGCAGCGACGCCGCGUGGAGGAAGAAGGUCUUCGGAUUGUAAACUCCUGUUGUUGAGGAAGAUAAAGACGGUACUCAACAAGGAAGUGACGGCUAACUACGUG
rnacentral:rRNA from 1 species